AUGCAAGUCGAGCGGGCGUAGCAAUACGUCAGCGGCAGACGGGUGAGUAACGCGUGGGAACGUACCUUUUGGUUCGGAACAACCCAGGGAAACUUGGGCUAAUACCGGAUAGCCCUCACGGGGAAAGAUUUAUCGCCGAAAGAUCGGCCCGCGUCUGAUUAGCUAGUUGGUGAGGUAAUGGCCCACCAAGGCGACGAUCAGUAGCUGGUCUGAGAGGAUGAUCAGCCACAUUGGGACUGAGACACGGCCCAAACUCCUACGGGAGGCAGCAGUGGGGAAUAUUGGACAAUGGGCGCAAGCCUGAUCCAGCCAUGCCGCGUGAGUGAUGAAGGCCCUAGGGUUGUAAAGCUCUUUUGUGCGGGAAGAUAAUGACGGUACCGCAAGAAUAAGCCCCGGCUAACUUCGUGCCAGCAGCCGCGGUAAUACGAAGGGGGCUAGCGUUGCUCGGAAUCACUGGGCGUAAAGGGUGCGUANGCGGGUCUUUAAGUCAGGGGUGAAAUCCUGGAG
rnacentral:rRNA from 1 species